rnacentral:ncRNA from 1 species
AUCUUCAGGGCGAGGUGCAAUUCCUCACCGGCGGUAUAGCCCGCGAGCCUUUACAGGUUGAUUCGGUGAAACUCCGAAGCCGACGGUUAAAGUCCGGAUGAAAGAAGAA